AGGGUGAAUUAGCAAGACAAAAAAAUUGACGGCUCAAGGAGUGCAAGGUGCGGCGAAAACGAGGACAAUGGAUAAGAUGACUGUGGUAAAAACGAGAGGAAGAGGAAAAAAAUAAAAGAGGGAGAAAGGGAAGAGAAAAUAAAGGAAAAGGGAGGGGGCAGUGUAAUGGAGAAAAUGGAAGGGAAAAGAGAGAAAGGGAAAAUGAAAAAGAAGAAGAGGGGUGUAACACCCCAAACC
rnacentral:lncRNA from 1 species